UGAGUAACCUGCCCUUAACUCUGGGAUAAGCCUGGGAAACCGGGUCUAAUACCGGAUAUGACUCCUCAUCGCAUGGUGGGGGGUGGAAAGCUUUAUUGUGGUUUUGGAUGGACUCGCGGCCUAUCAGCUUGUUGGUGAGGUAAUGGCUCACCAAGGCGACGACGGGUAGCCGGCCUGAGAGGGUGACCGGCCACACUGGGACUGAGACACGGCCCAGACUCCGUACGGGAGGCAG
rnacentral:rRNA from 1 species